UAAGGAAUAUUGGUCAAUGGACGAAAGUCUGAACCAGCCAUGCCGCGUGGAGGAUGAAGGUCCUCUGGAUUGUAAACUUCUUUUAUAUGGGACGAAAAAGGGACUUUCUAGUUCAACUGACGGUACCAUAUGAAUAAGCACCGGCUAACUCCGUG
rnacentral:rRNA from 1 species